GGCUUCCUGGUCAAGUAGUAAGGACAUUUGCCUUUCACCCUAGAGCCUCGGGUUCGAUCCCCGGUCGAGGAGCUA